rnacentral:rRNA from 1 species
CAGGACGAACGCUGGCGGCGUGCCUAACACAUGCAAGUCGAGCGGAGACAGAUGGAAAGCUUGCUUUUGUCUGUUUCAGCGGCGGACGGGUGAGUAACGCGUGAGCAACCUGCCUUUAACAGGGGAAUAACGCAUCGAAAGAUGUGCUAAUACCGCAUAAGACCACAGCAUCACAUGGUGCAGGGGUCAAAGGAGCAAUCCGGUUAAAGAUGGGCUCGCGUCCGAUUAGCUGGUUGGUGAGACAACAGCCCACCAAGGCGACGAUCGGUAGCCGACCUGAGAGGGUGAUCGGCCACAUUGGAACUGAGAUACGGUCCAGACUCCUACGGGAGGCAGCAGUGGGGAAUAUUGGGCAAUGGGCGAAAAAGCCUGACCCAGCAACGCCGCGUGAGGGAAGAAGGGUUUCGGCUCGUAAACCUCUGUCCUAUGGGACGAAGGAAGUGACGGUACCAUAGGAGGAAGCCCCGGCUAACUACGUGCCAGCCGCAGC